CCUACGGGUGGCAGCAGUGGGGAAUAUUGCACAAUGGAGGGAACUCUGAUGCAGCGACGCCGCGUGAGUGAAGAAGUAAUUCGUUAUGUAAAGCUCUAUCAGCAGGGAAGAAAGUGACGGUACCUGAAAAAGAAGCUCCGGCUAAAUACGUGCCAGCAGCCGCGGUAAUACGUAUGGAGCAAGCGUUAUCCGGAUUUACUGGGUGUAAAGGGAGAGUAGGUGGCAGAGCAAGUCCGAAGUGAAAACCCAAAGCUCAAAUAUGGGAAUGCUUUAGAAACUGCUCAGCUAGAGUGCAGGAGGGGUAAGUGGAAUUCCUAGUGUAGCGGUGGAAUGCGUAGAUAUUAGGAGGAACAUCAGGGGCGAAGGCGACUUAUUGGACUGUAACUGACACUGAGGCACGAAAGCGUGGGGAGCAAACAGGAUUAGAUACCCGGGUAGUC
rnacentral:rRNA from 1 species